rnacentral:tRNA from 1 species
GCCUUAUUGGUGUAGUGGUCAGCACGCUGGGCGCGUAUUCCAGAGGUCCGUGGUUCAAGUCCCGGUGAAGGCA